UACGAAGGGGGCUAGCGUUGUUCGGAAUCACUGGGCGUAAAGGGCGCGUAGGCGGCUUUAUAAGUCGGGGGUGAAAGCCUGUGGCUCAACCACAGAAUUGCCUUCGAUACUGUAGAGCUUGAGACCGGAAGAGGUAAGUGGAACUGCGAAGUGUAGAGGUGAAAUUCGUAGAUAUUCGCAAGAACACCAGUGGCGAAGGCGGCUCACUGGCCCGAUACUGA
rnacentral:rRNA from 1 species